rnacentral:lncRNA from 1 species
UCUAUAAAACUUUAGUACUAAAUGACCUAGAAAAACAUGAAAAUAAUUUAGUUAUCUAGGAAAUGACCCAGGAAAACAUGGUAUGAAAUGACCUUGGAGAAUAUGUUAUUAAAUGACCUAGAAAAAUAUGGUAUUAAAUGACCUAGGAAAACAUGGUAUUAAAGGACCAUAAUGAACAUUCACUCUAAAUUCUUCCCACACAUGUGGACAAAAUAAAUG